GAUCAUUGUCGAAGCCUGCCCAGCAGAAAGACCGGCGAAC
rnacentral:rRNA from 1 species